GUUGAAAUGCUGUGAAUGCUGCAGGGCAGAAGAGUGCUGGAGCUGCAGUUGUUUUUCUCUGUGUUUGUGAAUGUGUUGUGUUUGUCUCCUGCAGCUGGUCCCACAGUGAAGCCCUCAGUGUCUCUGCUGCCGCCCUCUUCUCUGCAGAUCUCUGGAGACUCAGCCGCACUGCUCUGCCUGCUCAGCUCUUACUCUCCACAGGGGGCGCUGGUGAGCUGGACACUGGACGGCUCAGAGGUCACCGAGGGGGUUGUGACCAGCGCAGAGAGCGAGCAGGACGGCCGCUACAGCCGUAGUAGUGUCCUGACCCUCAGCAAAGCACGCUGGGAAGCGGGAGAGCAGUACGUCUGCAGAGUAACACAUGAUGGAGCUCCUCAUGAGGCCUCGUUCCACAAGAGUCGCUGUUAGUCGCUCGCAGUGCUGAUGUUUCUCCAGUGAGCGCUGCUCUCUCCUGAAGAUGAGCGUAUCUGAGUGUCCUGUGUCAGGCAGGAUUCACAUGAGUCUAGUGCUGCAGCUGUAGUCAUUUACAACUCAAUACUGAAAGAGAGCUCUAGUGUCAAAGCACUGGCUGAUCUUUCAAUCUGCUGUGUUUGCUGCAACAUUCAAUAAAGCUUCUCAACAAAC